UACGUAGGGUGCGAGCGUUACUCGGAAUUACUGGGCGUAAAGCGUGCGCAGGCGGUUUUGUAAGCCAGAUGUGAAAUCCCCGGGCUUAACCUGGGAAUGGCAUUUGGGACUGCAAGGCUGGAGUGUGGCAGAGGAGACUGGAAUUCCUGGUGUAGCAGUGAAAUGCGUAGAUAUCAGGAGGAACACCAAUGGCGAAGGCAGCUCGCUGGUACGAUACUGACGCUGAGGCGCGAAAGCGUGGGGAGCAAACAGG
rnacentral:rRNA from 1 species